rnacentral:lncRNA from 1 species
CUUAAGCAAUACUACCCAUACACAUACAUGACACAUCUGUACUGGGUACAAGUCCCGUAGUCUGGAGUACCUCAGUCUCCUAUCACAGCUAUACAUACCCCUCUCCCUUCAACUGUGUGUGUUGUGUGUGUGUGUGUGUGUGUGUGUGUGUGUGUGUGUGUGUGUGUGUGUGUGUGUGUGUGUGUGUGUGUGUGUGUAGAUAGCAGCAGCUUGACUCAGCACUUUGACUCCAUGUUGCCCCACUGGGCUGUUCUGAGUUACUCUACCCUGCUGCCCUGGCAGAAACACAGGAUUCACAGUAACUCCUCAUAUUGUAUUCUAUUAUUUAUAAGGCUGAUUCCUAUAAACAACACUAAGAUCAACCCUAGAAAUGCUAAACUGAUCUGUGGAAAACUGACCUGAGCUCAUAUUUGUGAAUAUAAAAUGGCACUCACAUCAGCUAGGGAUGGAGAUUUCCACAGUGACCCAGCCUGAAUACAGCUCUUUCUACAGGGCUGGAAGUUUCCACAGUGAGACAGACAGAACACAGCUCUUUCUACAGGGCUGGAAGUUUCCACAGUGACCCAGCCUGAACACAGCUCUUUCUACAGGGCUGGAAGUUUCCCCAGUGAGACAGACAGAACACAGCUCGUUCCACAGGGCUGGAAGUUUCCACAGUGACCCAGCCUGAAUACAGCUCUUUCUACAGGGCUGGAACCUGAAUACAGCUCUUUCUACAGGGCUGGAAGUUUCCACAGUGACCCAGCCUGAAUACAGCUCUUUCUACAGGGCUGGAAGUUUCCACAGUGACCCAGCCUGAACACACAUUCUCCUCCUACAGGGCUGUGUCCUAACUCGUGAUACUCACGUCUUAUUUGCUCAAAUCAUCCAAUGAUUGGGAGAUUUGCAUGACAUUUCAAGACUCUGGCAUGGGGUGGAUUGAAUCCCUGAGCUGACAAGGUAAAAAUCUGUUGCUCUGCCUCUGAACAAGGCAGUUAACCCACCGUUCCUAGGCUGUCAUUGAAAAUAAGAAUUUGUUCUUAACUGACUUGCCUGGUAAAAUAAAGGUAAAAAUAAAUAAAUAUCAAGACUGUGUGAAGUUAGUAUUCAGUCUGCUGUAGAUAAACACUGUCCAGAUGAAUUUACCCCAAACCAUGUUUACGGAGC